GAGUUUGAUCCUGGCUCAGAUUGAACGCUGGCGGCAUGCCUUACACAUGCAAGUCGAACGGUAACAGGUCUUCGGAUGCUGACGAGUGGCGAACGGGUGAGUAAUACAUCGGAACGUGCCCGAUCGUGGGGGAUAACGGAGCGAAAGCUUUGCUAAUACCGCAUACGAUCUACGGAUGAAAGCAGGGGACCGCAAGGCCUUGCGCGGACGGAGCGGCCGAUGGCAGUUUAGGUAGUUGGUGGGAUAAAAGCUUACCAAGCCGACGAUCUGUAGCUGGUCUGAGAGGACGACCAGCCACACUGGGACUGAGACACGGCCCAGACUCCUACGGGAGGCAGCAGUGGGGAAUUUUGGACAAUGGGCGAAAGCCUGAUCCAGCCAUGCCGCGUGCAGGAUGAAGGCCUCGGUGUAACGUGCUUUGUAC
rnacentral:rRNA from 1 species